UUGGUCUCUGUUAUGGUUCGUGUUGUUGCACAUGGUUCUCAGCGCGUUCCUUCGACGUCCUUGGGCUCUUCUUCUUCCGUUGGUGCUUCUGAUGGGAGGUUGGCUGCUGAGGGUGGUUCUAAUCUUGGUGAGUAUUGUUCUUUCAUUUGUAGGGUUUGGUUUGCUGAUUUUUUGUAGUCUUUUUGAUUGUGUUCAUGAUGUUGAGUGUUUUUAGGUUCGAGGGCUGAUGAGGCGUGGCGGCGAUGCCAGGAACGACAAGAUAUUCGCCGUGGGAAACGUCCUGUAGAUUUAUCGUUUGGUGGGUAUUUAGCAUGCUUCUUUUUGUUCUUGUUAUUUGCCUGGAUUCUUUUUUAUAUGUCCCCAGGCUCUAGAAUACUAGAUCCUGCUGUUCCUAUUUAUCUCUAAAUCUGGUUUCAGUGUCUUUGUGUUGUUUUCCGAUUUCUUGUUUUUAUUUGUUUGUUGUGGUUAUUUGCAGGUGCUCUGGUUUCUCCAUCUCAUUUGCAUCCAGACAAAGCUCACUCUUGCCGGUAGGAAGGUGUCCUGUUUACUUCAUGAUGGUGGGCGUUCUUUGUAUUGUUCAUUUCACUUUCUGUUUGGUUUGUCAUUUAUUCCUUUUUUGUUCUUUAACAGUUACAUAGAUGGCAUGUCUCUUGAUUUGCCUCCCAUUUUAUGAUAUCCUUGCAAAGAAGCUAAAUAAAGAGGGCCUAAAGCUAAGGUAUAUUUUGGUUUCACUUUGGAAGCAAAAUAAUAAUAGUUUUGUAGUCUCGCAAAUACUUUGUCCAUGAGAAUCAGUGAUCUUGAUUUACAUUGUUGUUCCAAAGGACUAAUUCUAUGGAAGAGAUAAAGAAUAAUGAUAGGCAUCCAGUAGUGCUUAUGCCAAAAUGCCAUGAAAGUUUUACUUCAUCUUUUGGAAGUUGGAACUCCAGUAGUGCUUAUGCCAAAAUAGUGCUUAUGCCAAAAUGCCAUAAAGCGGGAAAUUCCUCUUUGCCGAGCGGGCCGGCCAGUUUUGGAACGUUUUAUUUUAUUUUAUUUCUUCAGACUAUAGUUUUAUUUUUUUCCCUUUUCAUUUCUUUUUUCGUUUUGAAUUUUAUUUUUCUUUUUGAG
rnacentral:lncRNA from 1 species